rnacentral:rRNA from 1 species
CCUACGGGAGGCAGCAGUGAGGAAUAUUGGUCAAUGGGCGGAAGCCUGAACCAGCCAAGUAGCGUGCGGGAUGAAGGCCCUACGGGUCGUAAACCGCUUUUGCACGGGGAUAACACCCUCCACUUGUGGAGGUCUGCAGGUACCGUGCGAAUAAGGGCCGGCUAAUUCCGUGCCAGCAGCCGCGGUAAUACGGAAGGCCCGAGCGUUAUCCGGAUUCAUUGGGCUUAAAGGGAGCGUAGGCGGGCGUUCAAGUCAGCUGUAAAAUCGCGCGGCUCAACCGCGCCCCGCAGUUGACACUGGACGCAUUGAGUUCACAACAGGCAGGCGGAAUUCGUGGUGUAGCGGUGAAAUGCAUAGAUAGCACGAGGAACCCCGAUUGCGAAGGCAGCCUGCCGGGGUGCGACUGACGCUGAGGCUCGAAGGUGCGGGUAUCAAACAGGAUUAGAUACCCCUGUAGUC